rnacentral:rRNA from 1 species
UACGGAGGGUGCGAGCGUUGUCCGGAAUCACUGGGCGUAAAGGGCGCGUAGGCGGCCUGAUAAGUCGGGGGUGAAAUCCUGCGGCUUAACCGCAGGGCUGCCUUCUAAACUGUCGGGCUAGAGCACGGUAGAGGCAGAUGGAAUUCCCGGUGUAGCGGUGGAAUGCGUAGAGAUCGGGAAGAACAUCAGUGGCGAAGGCGGUCGACUGGGCCGUUGCUGACGCUGAGGCGCGACAGCGUGGGGAGCAAACAGG